rnacentral:rRNA from 1 species
GUGUCAGCAGCCGCGGUAAUACGGGGGGUGCAAGCGUUGUUCGGAAUCAUUGGGCGUAAAGCGCGCGCAGGCGGCUUGGUAAGUCAGAUGUGAAAUCCCUGGGCUUAACCCAGGAAGUGCAUUUGAUACUGCCUCGCUAGAGUACGGGAGAGGAAAGUGGAAUUCCUGGUGUAGAGGUGAAAUUCGUAGAUAUCAGGAGGAACACCGGUGGCGAAGGCGACUUUCUGGCCCGAUACUGACGCUCAGG